rnacentral:tRNA from 2 species
GCCCGGCUAGCUCAGUCAAUAGAUCAUGAGACUCUGAAUCUCAGGGUUGUGGGUUCGAGCCCCAUAUUGGGCA